UGUUUCUAUCACUCCUCCCAUCCUCUCUCCUUCUCCUCUACCCAUGUACUCCUCUGUUUCUAUCACUCCUCCUCCCAUCCUCUCUCCUCCUCUACCCAUGUACUCCUCUGUUUCUAUCACUCCUCCUCCCAUCCUCUCUCCUUCUCCUCUACCCAUGUACUCCUCCAUUUCUAUCACCCCUCCUCUUUCCAUUCUCUUAAUGAUCUUCCUGAAUCCAUCUGAAUGUGUUUUUCUAAGAUACGUCAAUGGCACAUCCACAAUUGGAUAACUAUUUAUUUUUGUAUGGAAGAGGAAUCAGAGGAACGAGUCUAUAGAGGGAGAGAGAGACAGAGAGAAAGAUUCUGGCCCAGUCAUGUUGGAUUGCAAAAUCGAAUCAAGCCGCUCAGAAGCAAUUUCAAUGAAUCUGUGUGUGCAUUGGAGCCACAUGCUUUGUCUUGUAGCCAAUCCUACUUGGCUUAUCAGACACAAUUUGUGGUGGAUGCACCCUGUCCACACACACACUCCACUGUUACGGCCUGGCAGCCAAGAUGGCACUUCAUCCAACACUACUAAAUGUUAUUCACUUUUAUUGUGAUUGACAUUUCAGCUGUCCAGGUUGUUGAAGUAGAGUUUUCUAUAAGGACUGUACCACAUUAUUCCAUUUCCAUCUUAUUGUCACCAUUAUCAUUACUUACACUCUGAAGGACUGUACCACGUCAUAUUAUCUGUAUAUCAUGUCAAUCGACAAUUGUCGAGAGAGAGAGAGAGAGAGAGAGAGAGAGAGAGAGAGAGAGAGAGAGAGAGAGAGAGAGAGCGAGAGAGAGAGAUGUGUAUACACAUUAACAUACACAAUAUAACCACUCUCCAUGUUCUGUACUGUAUGUAUUCCUGGUCCAGUGCUGCUAUGUUUAGGGAAUGAUGACAUAUUGAAGGGUUUAUUUGCAUAAAGAUCUACUGUAGAAAGCUAGGUACACGAUCCAUGUGUCUGGUCCUGACUGUGCUGCUUUGGGAGAUACGGGAGAAAGGUGUAUUAUUUAAAACGGUGUAUUAGUGUAAGGAGGAUCUAUAGGUUGUGUAUUAAGGCUUAUUGAAAGGGCUCCAUAAUGACUUCAUAUGCAUAACACCUUUUUCAACCAAUCACCUCUAUCUAACAACAUCAACAAACCUCAUGAUCAACCUCAGGCAUUAUUACUAUGUGUGGUAUGAGGUAUUUGUGCUCGCUGUUCAAAUCUGUUUCUAUUUUCUCUUCUUGUUUGUCUUCCCACUUCCUCAAUCAAUCAAUCAAAUGUAUUUAUAAAGCCCUUUUUACAUCAGCAGAUGUCACAAAGUACUAUACAGAAACCCAGCCUAAAACCCCAAACAGCAAGCAAUGCAGAUGUAGAAGCACGGUGGCUAGGAAAAACUCCCUAGAAAGGCACAACGCAUUUUGAGCCCUAAAUGUUGACUCCUCCCCCAGUUAAACAGUGACACAGCCUACUGUAUCUGAUUUAAUAUCACUUUGUACAAUUGAACAGUAAAAGCAACCUCCGUAUUUUUCAUCGCUUCCUUUCCGUUCACCAAACUGAAACUGUGCAGUAAUGAAGAAAUAUAAAGAUGGAAUGACGAACCUGUGUAAAAUGUAUUGUAAAUAUCAAGCCAGAUGGCAAUAUAAACCAUGGUAAUCUCCCACGGGAAUAGAACAGAAGAGAUGUUAGAAAGAAGAGAAAGGAAACUCUAGAAUGUUAAACCCACGUUGUCCUUCACCAACCCUUCCCUGGUAGCUUUGCUGCAGUACCUGACUCCGUUGUAAAAUGUAUUGUAUGAAAAUAAAAAACACAUUGAAAUUGUUUAUGAGAAAAGACUG